rnacentral:tmRNA from 1 species
GGGGGCGAUCGGCUUCGACGGAGAUCUCGACCAUCUUGCUGCGUGCCGUGGCUGCUGAAAGACCACGUAAAAAUCUUUCGGCAAACACAAUUGCGAACGAUAACGCAAUUGCUCUCGCUGCCUAACUAGCAGGUCUGAGAGCCGGUUGACCAAGGGGCCUGCCAGUGCCUCUGGAAGACCGUCAUCAAACUGGCUGGCCGAGCCCCGGGUCACCGGGGGCAAGGCGAGAUCAAACAGGUGAAUAGUCCCGAGGAGAGCGCGCUGGCCCGCGCAAAUCGGGACGAUUCAAAUGGCCAGAUACGCACGUAGAAGCAGAUGGCCUCGGAAUUUUCGGACCCGGGUUCGAUUCCCGGCGCCUCCACUU